GGGCUGGUUAUUUGUGAUAGUUUGUCUUGGUUGUCUUUAUCUCUAUGUGAUAUUUUUUGUAGAGCUAUACAACUUGGCACUUUUACAUAUGGAGAGAAGUAACCUAUGUGUUUCUUUCUUAUUUUGGUUUUGUUUGAUAACUAAUCUUUUUUGUAGAACGAGUUGCCCUUCUUUUUUUUUUUUUCUAAACCCUUGUGGGACCCUGUGAAGCAGUAAUCUCUUGAAAACACUUCCAAGGCACACUUCACUCUUAAAUCAAAUAUUAUAUUUUGAAGAAAGAAAAUCAAGCCUUUUUUAAAACAAUUUUCAAUUUGCAUUGUGACAUUAUUUUUAUAACAAUUAAGCACAUUUUCUCUGGGGCAUUUUUUUAGAUGUAUUAUUUAUUUUUUUAAUUAAAUGCAGAGUCAAGCAGAUAAAUGGUCUGUGGCCUGCUUCAAAUGAGUGGCAUUGUAACAUCAUAAACAUUAUAUCAAACAUUUAUCGAACUCUUGUUAUCGUUUUAUCGUGGAAAAUUGUAUAAGGAUAAUUAUCAUUAUCAUUGAUUUAUCGCCCAGCCCUAAUUACAGUAAUAGGAAUUUUCUGUAUUGCAGUAAUGAUAGUUUUGAUAAAGAAUGUGCUUAAUUGUCAUGAAAACCGUCAUGAAUUAAUCACAAUGCAAAAAUGUAUAAUGUUUUUGUUUUAUUUUACUUUUUUCUUCUUCUUCUUCUUUUGAUGUUGGGCUGAAAUAUGACCCAGAUGUUAGUUUUGUGGGAUUCACCCACUGAUACAUUUGUUUUAGAACUUUUUAAUUACAACAUUCAAUUCUGUAAUAAAUAAUAGCCACGUAUUCACAACAUCACUUACUGUAUUAUGACCACAAUGCUAUAAAGUCGCAGUUUAGUCUUAAUUCAAGCACAUAAAUGUGUAGAUGUAACCGAGAUGUAAGUUUUUACUGGCAAGGCUUGCUCUUGAGGAUCUAAGGCUAAUUAGAGAGAUCUGGACCUUCGCUCCUGUUUAUUCUUUACCACGUUUCUGUUUUGUGGAAGUUAAACAAUUGAUUGGUAGUCCUGUCUUCCAGUCACGGCCAAUCAAAAAGCCUCAGAAAGACAAUAAACAGCAAUUAUUAAUGGAUCGCUGGAGAGAGCGUUGCCCUGGAGGACCCAGUCACGUUUACAAAAAUAAACUCAACAGCAUUUCAGCAAGAUGUCAUCCAUAUUUAAUGAGCCAUGUGAAAUCUGUGCAUAGCCCACUUUCAAGUUGAAAUGCAAUUUCCACACACAAAACAACAUUUCCUCCUCAUUGCCUCUGAACACACUGUGCUUGCGUUCAUGGAUGAAAGCCAAUGAACACUACUGACUGGAUUUGAUUAGGGCAGACCUGCACAUUUAUUUGGGUCUUACAGGGGGAGGCUUUUUUUUUUCUUUUUUAGUGCAUUCUCUAAGUAUUGUUGUAAAUACUUGAGUGUCACUCGCCAAAACUUACAAAAAAAAGUUGAAUAAAAAAAAAUACAAAAAAGUUUGGAGAAAAUUAGAGAUGUAAUAUAUUGUCUAUGACCUUAAUAAUUUAUUGUUGAGCAGAAAAACUGAACUUAGUGGAAGACGCAGCUCAAAUCACAAAUGUUUGUGUUGUGUUGAUCUCUCAAAGAACGUUUCAAAGUUCAAGAUUUCAUAGAGUGUCCGUUUGUUCUUUUUCUUCUUAUUAUUUUGGUUCUUCUGAGAGCACAACAAUGUCCGUUUUUCAAAACUAUUCUAAGCAAGUUUAUUUGUUCCAAGAAAUUGAAGCCCAAGAAGCUUCUAGAAAUGUGUCCCCGUUUCCCCUCUCCACCCUCUCAUGCUUUCUUUCUACAUGAAAUAUCAACUCUUCUUGAGUUUGUAUACUACUGGUGUUUAAUGUUCAUGUAAAAAAUAAUGUCAACAUGGGUCAUGAUACUGCAGAUUUACAUAUAAAAAAAGGGUAGAUGAAAAGUUGACUCAGAAUUCCUGUAGCACAGCAGUUUUUUUUUUUCAGUUUCUCAUAUAAUUUUGUUUCUUUGCAGCACAAUAAAUACUUUUUAAACAAA
ensembl:lncRNA